rnacentral:rRNA from 1 species
CCUACGGGCGGCAGCAGUGGGGAAUAUUGGGCAAUGGGCGCAAGCCUGACCCAGCAACGCCGCGUGAAGGAAGACGGCCCUCGGGUUGUAAACUCCUUUUGACAGGGAAGAGUAGAAGCCGGUACCUGUCGAAUAAGCCACGGCUAACUACGGGCCAGCAGCCGCGGUAAUACGUAGGUGGCAAGCGUUGUCCGGAUUUACUGGGUGUAAAGGGCGUGUAGCCGGGUUGACAAGUCAGAUGUGAAAUCCUGCGGCUUAACCGCAGAACUGCAGUUGAAACUGUUGAUCUUGAGUGCUGGAGAGGCAGGCGGAAUUCGUAGUGUAGCGGUGAAAUGCGUAGAUAUUAGGAGGAACACCGGUGGCGAAGGCGGUCUGCUGGACAGCAACUGACGGUGAGGCGCGAAAGCGUGGGGAGCGAACAGGAUUAGAUACCCGUGUAGUC